rnacentral:rRNA from 1 species
GAUCAUGGCUCAGGAUAAACGCUGGCGGCGCACAUAAGACAUGCAAGUCGAACGAACUUAAUCGAUUCUUUUAGAUUCGAAGCGGUUAGUGGCGGACUGGUGAGUAAUACGUAAGCAACCUACCUAUUAGAGGGGAAUAACAGUGAGAAAUCACUGCUAAAACCGCAUAUGCCGUGAAUAUCUCAUGAUAAAAACGGGAAAAGAGCAAUCUGCUAAUAGAUGGGCUUGCGU